UUUAAAGUGCUAUAUAAAUGGUGUUUUUUUGUUUUUUUUUAAUCAGGCCUUCAGUCGAGUGAUGACCUCUCCCUGAGCCUUCUACAGUGCUCCUUCUCAGGAAGGCCACUGAACUUGUCUUAAGAGGAAGCAAAAUCUUGGAGUAUAAAAGCCAACAACCAUUAUUUGUGGUAAGCAAAUAUUUGAUUAUUUUCACUUAAAAAACA
rnacentral:lncRNA from 1 species